ACACUGCUGCAGAAAAUUGAUCAACUGGGUUUAAUUGGACCUGAACGAGACUCAAAUAUACUUCAAUCUCAUUUCACUCCGUGCUUUGAAGGCGGGGUUAAAUCUAUUUAAACAAAACUUGUCAGCAGAGUAGUCGUAGUAAAAGGUAUUGAUUUGGCCACUCUAGUCAAUUUAAUAUUAUUUUCGAUACAUGCUGAAGUGUUCGUUGUUAAGUAGAAUGGUUUUAUAACCUUUUGUUAGAAACAAGCAAAAAACAAACCAAAAAAAAAAAAAACCCAGAACUUCAUUCAUCUGUUUCUCAUCCAUUUCGAAGAGCGCUUUAGUAUCGUACGGAAGCGCCCUAGUGCCAAUUUCUAAAAAAAGUCCUAAGUAGGAGGUAUAAAGUCCGACAUAGGAGAUAUUUUUUGUUAUUGUUCUUUAAUUGGCACUAGGACGCUUCCGUAGUAUCGUUUAGAAGUAACCUUAUUAGAAAUGUCCACGAGAAUCGACUUUGCUGAUGAAAGUUGCGUUCUUGUUCAUGCUGAUACAGAUGAAAUGGAAUCUACUCCUUGUGAACUGAACGUUGAUAAUCUUCACAAAGGUGUGCGGUCUGAGCUAUUGACUAUAUUGACCUAUUGACCUUGUCAGUUUCUGCUCAGACUGAGAAGGCUGAUAACGCAGAGCAGCGCCAGUUAAGAGUCUACCUGAGGGUGAGACCAUUUUCCAAAGAAGAGCUUGCAAAUGACAAGGAUCAGGGUUGUAUAGUUUUGGAAAAUGCUGAGGUGGCUGUGCUGCAAGCUCCUAAAGAAACUUCAUCCAUGAAGAGCAGUGAGAAAGGGGUGGGGCAAUCGAUACACAAGUUUUCAUUUUCUCAGGAGUUGGAGAGAAAAAUACAGAAAUGGAGUUGAAUCUAACCCCCCCCCUGAAGCUGAAUCUAUGGAUGGUGCAAAUUCACUACAAUCUCCCACACUUGCACACAAAUCUGGUAUUGUAUAUUUAAACAUCCCUGUGAGGGGAUUUCGUGGUGUAAUAAAUCCACUAUAACUGGUAAUGUAUCAAACCAUAUCAGAUGGCUCGAUUUUUUUCAGUGUUAUGAAAACUUAAUAGGCAAAAUUUAAUCCAUAUGCUUCACUUGACCCGAGAUCCAAGAUGGGCCUCAUUGUGGUCAUGUGACUUUCUGGUUUCUUGAUGGCCCUAACGCUUCGAGUUUCAUGAUCAUAUAAUUUGGGGAUAAAGUGCACAAUUCACCAUAAUAUUGAGCAUAUCUGCUCCUCUAAUACUGGUUUAUAGCAAUUCCUCCUUUUAUAACUUUACUGCAGGUGUGUUCAUCUGUGUUAUUUUUAUUUAAGAGGUGAGGUACAAGGAACUCUGGGAGGAAAAUUCAUCAUCUGAAACACUAAGUGAAGAAAAAAACCAGGAACACUGAAGUGGAGGUUCUUUAAAGGAUAAAUGUCUCUUCAUUCAAGGUUAUAAAGUCCAGGGAGAAGGUGGUGGCCCUGAAUGAAACCAUCCAGGAGGCAGGAGAACAAGUGGAGGAGAGUAAGCGGCUUGAGGAGAAAAUAGCUCAACAGGUACAUCUUCAUGAACUGCAAAGGAUUUGUCUUGUGUUCUUUCUCAAAGAAGGGUCAUACAAACCUAUGGCUGUUGAAACUUGUCACCUGAAGCCUUUUUGUAUCCCUGUAACUUAAAUUGUAUAGAAGGUCACACAACUGCUUAUUCAAUUGUCAUGAAUGUCUUGGUAUUUAACAUUAUUUAGCAUGUUGUUAAAUAUCAAAUACUGUAGAUAUAUUGAGGGUGUCUGUUUUUAUUUAUCAGUCUGUCACACUUCUAUUUUUUGAAUACAUCUGGAAAAUAGCUUGAAAUUGUGCUUUUUUAUAUGGUGUGUGUGUGUGUGUGUGUGUGUGUGUGUGUGUGUGUGUGUGUGUGUGUGAACACUGGUGAACCUAAAGCUAAGAAAGGCAUACUUGCCAACUUAAGAGCCACUGUUGGCUCGCCUGCUAAACUAUCCAAAAAAACUGUUGCAGGCACACCAAGCUCUACCAGAAAGAGGAGCCUGUUCAAGUAAAUGGUGGAAAUAUGUGUAUAUAUUUUGUUUUUCUUUAAUGUUUGUCUUAUUAAAAAUGGAAUAAAGGUUUAUUUAAGUUUUGUUUGGUUUCUAUUUCCACAAGAUCGGUCAACUUGGAAAAUGUAUUUUUAUUUUUUAAACCUGCAAUGGAUCUCCUCCUAAUGGCUGAGUUAUCAAUAUCAGUAUUGCCUCGCGACUGAAUUUGAUUUCAGUUGAAUAGUAAGCUCCUGUAUCAGUUUUGCAUCAUCCCCUAUAAUAAAGAUUUAGAUCUCUACUGGAAGCCAUACUAGUACAGCAGCAGUGUGGAAUAGUGGUUAGGGCUCUGGACUCUUGACCAGAGGGUUGUGGGUUCAAUAUCUGGUAGGGGACACCGUUGCUGUACCCUUGAGCGAGGUAAUUUACCUAAAUUGCUCCUGUAAAAACCCAACUGUAUAAAUGGGUAAUUGAAUGUAAAAAUAAUGUGAUAUCUUGUAACAAUUGUAAGUCGCCCUGGAU